GCAUCAGUGAGGUACAUCCUUACCUGUUGCCUUAUUUAUAAGGCUGCAGUGCAUGAUGAUUGGGUUCUAUGAUGAGUGAUUAUACACUACAUUUAUCAAGGAACAGCAACACCUUGAUGGAUCCUGUCUGAU